UACGUAGGGGGCAAGCGUUGUCCGGAAUCAUUGGGCGUAAAGCGCGUGUAGGCGGUCCGGUAAGUCCGCUGUGAAAGUCGGGGGCUCAACCCUCGGAUGCCGGUGGAUACUGCCGGGCUAGAAUCCGGAAGAGGCGAGUGGAAUUCCUGGUGUAGCGGUGGAAUGCGCAAAUAUCAGGAGGAACACCAAUAGCGAAGGCAGCUCGCUGGGACGGUAUUGACGCUAAGGCGCGAAAGCGUGGGGAGCAAACAGG
rnacentral:rRNA from 1 species